CUUCUGGUCCAAAUUUCUUCUUUAAGCAAGGCUUAUUCCAAACUUAAGUUUCUCAUGGCCUAGCUAUACUUUGGAAAUUUCAAGAAAUUGAGACUCCACAGCAUCUCUGGACAACCUAUAUUUAACCACUCUCAAGGUACACCUUUCCACAAAUGAAGCUUAAAUUAGAGCAUGGUAGUUUUAGACAUCAAAGUAAAUGUGAAUGAAGAAAACUGCAUGGCUGUGUGACUCAUUUUAAGGAUAUACAUUGUACAAAAGGGAGGCUACCACUUAACUUGUGGGAUUUUCAAUGAAACAUCAAAAGGACAGACGAAACACAUUGCACAGAGCUCACAGGAAGAGAAUGCACAGCUGGAGCACAAAGAUGCAUAUUGGAUCAAACCACUGAGGAUCACUCCGCGCUCAUUGCUGUUUCCAUUGACAGAAUUUAGCUUUUCCUCUUUGUGGGUGUAAAAAGGCUCCUUCCUGCUCCCU